AGGAGUUGCAUAAAUUUUUAGAAAACAUAAAGAUCCGGGUCUAUCGGAUUGGCUGGAUGUUUCUGAUUUGUGAGAUAAUUCUAGAAAUUCCGUUUUUUAACAGGUUUCGUGAGGAUUAACAUGAAGGUUGAUUGUUUUCCUUUUUAUUGGCAAACCUUAUGGGAAAUGAAUUGUCUCACUAGAAAUUCAACAUUGCCUUAGCAAAGUCUUUAGCUUGAACCAUG
rnacentral:lncRNA from 1 species